rnacentral:lncRNA from 1 species
UAGAAAUGAGAAGUGAGAUUCUUAGCAGUGAGGAAACUUCCAUUCUUUUUCAAGGAGCUUCAGCAGGAGAUGCUUUGCCAAAAGAGAGGAUGGACUAAGGAAGAAGAAGACAUAGGAUACUGGAAAUAAGAGAUCCAACCCAGAAGAAAGCAAAGGGAAAUCUCGGCAGCAAGACUAGAGAAGCAGGAGGAUGGAAGGGUGCGAGAGAAGACACAGAACUGAAGAUCAGCUGAUGCCUUUGAGCACAUGGCAAACAAAACAACACAAUGCAGCAACAAGAAAAAAUUAAGGAAGGAAGAUUUUGUGAUUAAAAAAUUGUAAAUGUGCCCUGAAGCAAUUCUGCUCUAAGAAUGCUGCUGCAAAUAUGACAUUCAUGACAUCUUCAUCUGGCUUCAUCAUCUGGCUAUGAGAAUUGCUAAGUUACUUGCCUCUGGGCCUCUGUCCCCUAUGUAAUUGGGAAUUACAAUCUCUCUAAAAUC